UGCAAGUCGAGCGGGCGUAGCAAUACGUCAGCGGCAGACGGGUGAGUAACGCGUGGGAACAUACCUUUUGGUUCGGAACAACACAGGGAAACUUGUGCUAAUACCGGAUAAGCCCUUACGGGGAAAGAUUUAUCGCCGAAAGAUUGGCCCGCGUCUGAUUAGCUUGUUGGUGAGGUAGUGGCUCACCAAGGCGACGAUCAGUAGCUGGUCUGAGAGGAUGAUCAGCCAUAUUGGGACUGAGACACGGCCCAAACUCCUACGGGAGGCAGCAGUGGGGAAUAUUGGACAAUGGGCGCAAGCCUGAUCCAGCCAUGCCGCGUGAGUGAUGAAGGCCCUAGGGUUGUAAAGCUCUUUUGUGCGGGAAGAUAAUGACGGUACCGCAAGAAUAAGCCCCGGCUAACUUCGUGCCAGCAGCCGCGGUAAUACGAAGGGGGCUAGCGUUGCUCGGAAUCACUGGGCGUAAAGGGUGCGUAGGCGGGUCUUUAAGUCAGGGGUGAAAUCCUGGAGCUCAACUCCAGAACUGCCUUUGAUACUGAGGAUCUUGAGUUCGGGAGAGGUGAGUGGAACUGCGAGUGUAGAGGUGAAAUUCGUAGAUAUUCGCAAGAACACCAGUGGCGAAGGCGGCUCACUGGCCCGAUACUGACGCUGAGGCACGAAAGCGUGGGGAGCAAACAGGAUUAGAUACCCUGGGUAGUCCACC
rnacentral:rRNA from 1 species